GACAGAGGUGCCAAGCGUUAGGCGGAAUCACUGGGCUUAAAGCGUGUGUAGGCGGAUUUGUAAGUACCUUGUGAAAUCCCACGGCUCAACCGUGGAACUGCUCGGUAUGCUGCUUAUCUUGAGCCACUUAGGGGCUACCGGAACAAAUGGUGGAGCGGUGAAAUGCGUAGAUAUCAUUUGGAACGCCAAUGGUGAAAACAGGUAGCUGGGAGUGUGCUGACGCUGAGACACGAAAGCCAGGGGAGCGAACGGG
rnacentral:rRNA from 1 species